UGUAUAUCGUCUCCACAGGGACUAGCGCGAUAUUCAAGUCAUUCAACAAUCAAUAUUGUUCUAAGUGUAUGGAUUUAAAAUGUGUGUUUGUGUAAACUAUAUAAACUAUUUGACAUAAAAUAAAUAGAGAAGAGAUAUGACCAUAUCGCUUGGGGUUAGAGAUAUCAACCAAGCGUAACAGCUGCAAUCUCUCGAUCAAUUAACAGAUUCUAGCUUUUUAAACGAUAUUAUCACAAUCACUCGGCAAUAUCAUUCGUGUCCA
rnacentral:lncRNA from 1 species